AAAAUCAAUAUACUUCUAAUGUCGAAUCAGGAUNNNAAUUGGCGAAUUCGUAGGUUCAAUUCCUACUGGAUGCAC
rnacentral:tRNA from 1 species